GGAGAUUUAGCUCAGCGGCAUAAGCGCCUGCCUUGCAAGCAGGAAGUUGUAAGUUCAAUCCCUG
rnacentral:tRNA from 1 species